rnacentral:rRNA from 1 species
GAUGAACGCUGGCGGCGUGCCUAACACAUGCAAGUCGAGCGGAGAAUUGUUGCUUGCACCAAUUCUUAGCGGCGGACGGGUGAGUAACACGUGGGUAACCUGCCCUAAACAAAGGGAUAACAAUGAGAAAUCAUUGCUAAUACCGUAUAAGCUUACACUAUCGCAUGAUAGAGUAAGAAAAGAUUUAUCGGUUUAGGAGGGGCCCGCGUCUGAUUAGCUAGUUGGAGAGGUAACGGCUCACCAAGGCGACGAUCAGUAGCCGACCUGAGAGGGUGAUCGGCCACAUUGGGACUGAGACACGGCCCAAACUACUACGGGAGGCAGCAGUGGGGAAUAUUGCACAAUGGAGGAAACUCUGAUGCAGCAACGCCGCGUGAAGGAAGAAGGUUUUCGGAUCGUAAACUUCUAUCUACAGGGAAGAAAAAAAUGACGGUACCUGAGUAAGAAGCCCCGGCUAACUACGUG